rnacentral:snRNA from 1 species
GUCUCUUCAGAGACAUAUGAUAAAAUUGGAACGAUAUGGAGAAGAUUAGCAUGGCCCCUAUGCAAGGAUGACAUGCACACAUUGAGAAAUGGUUCAAUUGUUU